rnacentral:lncRNA from 1 species
UGCGAGCUGCGAAUGUCGCCGUCGGCCUGCUGCUGCUGUGACGUGCCCAUGGCUGCAACCCCCACCGCUGCGAGCGGGGGCAGCAGUGGUGCCGACGGCUUUUCAUCAGAGCCAGAUUCACCCCGCUGGAAGCGGCCACGCCGGCUGGAACCGACAAGUUCCCAGCAGCAUAGGUCACGCCACGAAUGAUUCGAGCAACUUAUUACCAUCUUAUUGUAGCUGCUGAGAGCUCGAGUAGCAUGUAUUGCCGAGCACAAGUGAGCAGGAGAUACGGGGGACGUCAUUGACACCCUCACUCGGUGCCGCAAUGAUAAUGGGGCCCCGGCUUUUAUUGAUGGCCUCCCGCCGCUAACUCGUAUGUAUAUAUCGUCCAACGCGACUGCUGGCGUGAUGAUGAGAUAUUUAGUACGACGGUAUGUGUAGUAUUCUUGGAGUGGCUGGCUGGCGGGGUUCCUUCCCGGCGCUGGGUCGUUUUCGGUCGCCACAGUCACCAACACCUACGGCAAUACGUAAUAAUAUGUAGGUAAUGUAUUAAUUUAGUCAAAAUCACCAAGCAGGUACGCACACGGGGUGUGUGUGUGCGUCAACGGCUUGCUUGCUUGAUAUUAUUACUUGUAUGUAUGUAUGUAUGUAUGUGUGUUACACCUUGAGUUGUGUUGCUCGCCGAAGACAUAAUAACCGGCCUGCGCAAUGGCCGGCAUUACGGGUAUGUGUUUUUGGUUAUUGCGUGCUGUGGACUGCUCAGACCUGCCUUGCCCGCUGCCGCUGUGUUAAGGUGCGCGUCCCUUUAAAAUAGCCACCAUAUGCGAGUAAUCAUUUCGACUAUCUAAUGGAAUCCUUGCUGCGGCCCUGCCUCCGUCUUAUUAUGACUCCCCUCUCCCUAUAUUACCUCUUACAAUUUGGACCGCUGCAGCUAGCUAUAGCUAUAGGCCUUAUGACGC